rnacentral:rRNA from 1 species
GUUUGACUGGGGCGGUCUCCUCCUAAAGAGUAACGGAGGAGCACGAAGGUUGGCUAAUCCUGGUCGGACAUCAGGAGGUUAGUGCAAUGGCAUAAGCCAGCUUGACUGCGAGCGUGACGGCGCGAGCAGGUGCGAAAGCAGGUCAUAGUGAUCCGGUGGUUCUGAAUGGAAGGGCCAUCGCUCAACGGAUAAAAGGUACUCCGGGGAUAACAGGCUGAUACCGCCCAAGAGUUCAUAUCGACGGCGGUGUUUGGCACCUCGAUGUCGGCUCAUCACAUCCUGGGGCUGAAGUAGGUCCCAAGGGUAUGGCUGUUCGCCAUUUAAAGUGGUACGCGAGCUGGGUUUAGAACGUCGUGAGACAGUUCGGUCCCUAUCUGCCGUGGGCGCUGGAGAACUGAGGGGGGCUGCUCCUAGUACGAGAGGACCGGAGUGGACGCAUCACUGGUGUUCGGGUUGUCAUGCCAUUGGCACUGCCCGGUAGCUAAAUGCGGAAGAGAUAAGUGCUGAAAGCAUCUAAGCACGAAACUUGCCCCGAGAUGAGUUCUCCCUGACUCCUUGAGAGUCCUGAAGGAACGUUGAAGACGACGACGUUGAUAGGCCGGGUGUGUAAGCGCAGCGAUGCGUUGAGCUAACCGGUACUAAUGAACCGUGAGGCUUAACCUUACAACGCCGAAG